CCAGGGCGUGCUCCUGCUGAAGGAUGUGACACUGCUCCAGGGUCAGCGACAUGGCCGUGCGGUCCUUGGCACUCUUGCAGCUUGUGAAGCGCACGCCGUUCAGGCGCCGGCACGCCUGCAGCCAACACCAAAAUAGAGGUGUGCUGAUACAUUUGCGAAGCGCCGUACCUCUGCCGCCUGCCACAAAAUCUCCACGUUCUUGCUCUUCUUGGCGUUGACGUUGUGGCUGAGCUGUUUGAGCAGAUUGGGCAGACUGGUGGUGCUACGGGAGCGAGGAAGACCUGACAGGAUGACAGACGAGGAGGAAGAGCGGCGGAGGUGCGGGUGGCUGCAGAGUACUGACGGUCUGGCAGAAGACGACGUCACGGCGGUACUGCAGUGUGAGGCUCAUGGCGAUGGUUGGGGCGCUGUCCUGCAUGAGGAGGAACACCAAGGCCUUCUUGGCUUUGUCGCUCAUCAGCGAGGCGCGGUCGCUCAGCGUGGAGAGCAGAGGGUGCAGGGCCUCGGUCCACUCCCCUUCGGUGAGGGGAAGAGCUUUUAUUUGACCAGGGGUGUCCAAACGUACAGAAAAAUCAAAGGAGGUCGCUGAUGGUCUCCUGAUAUGUGAGGAUGAUGGUCUGGUACUGAGUGAUGAUCUGCCUCCGGAGGUUCUCCCAGCACGGAGACAGCUCGCCCAGCUCCUCCAGUUCACACACCCUGCGUGUGGUUACAGCAGCUUCACAAACUGUCGAGGGAUGUGCAGGGAAAGCGCGCUCUCCGCCAUCUGCUCCAGGACGCGGAGAUGUUUGCCGUCCGUGGUGGGGAAACGGUACAUCUGCGACAUGACGCCUCCGAACACUGGAACGCGCAGAAACGUGGCCACGUUACGAAAGAACGUAGGAACUUUCCUGAAGUUCCGAUGCUCUCUGAUGGUACUCGCCGGCCUUCAGCAGGGGAUCUUUACACAGGGACGAAGACUUGAACUUGAUGCCUUUGGAUUCAGUUAAGCUUUCAUCAACCGGAAGAACCAUCUGAAAGCGCGAGACAGUGUUUAUCCCUCCGUGACUUUACGUCGCUACAAAUUAAGGCAGCAGAAGUCCUCACGCAUACACUGUGUUUAAGUACAAAUAAAACAGUGCUACAGACACUGAAAUGUACUUAAGUACAAAAGUAAAAAGUACAGUUUUAUCUUCAACUAUUGUAUAUACGCAAGACCCAAUUUCAUAACUUGGUACAACAAAACUUUUUUUUGGUACUUAUUGCUCAGUCAGACUGAAAAAAGGAAUCACGUUUAGAGUGCUAGCGAGCGUUGGCUUGGCUUUAUGCUAACAAAACAACUUGCUCACAAAGCUUUGCUAGCAAACAAACAAUGACAACUUGACCUUUCUCAAAGAAGCGACCAGAAAUGGACGGGGGAACCCGAACUACGAGCGACUCCUCGCCACUCACUCUUCCGUUAACGGUGUCUCCUCGC